UACGAAGGGGGCUAGCGUUGCUCGGAAUCACUGGGCGUAAAGCGCACGUAGGCGGAUUGCUAAGUCAGGGGUGAAAUCCUGGAGCUCAACUCCAGAACUGCCUUUGAUACUGGCGACCUUGAGUCCGGGAGAGGUGAGUGGAACUGCGAGUGUAGAGGUGAAAUUCGUAGAUAUUCGCAAGAACACCAGUGGCGAAGGCGACUUCCUGGCCUGUUCUUGACGCUGAGGCGCGAAAGCUAGGGGAGCAAACGGGG
rnacentral:rRNA from 1 species